CAGUCGCCGCGGUAAUACGGAGGGUGCAAGCGUUAAUCGGAAUUACUGGGCGUAAAGCGCACGCAGGCGGUCUGACAAGUCAGAUGUGAAAUCCCCGGGCUUAACCUGGGAACUGCAUUUGAAACUGUCAGGCUGGAGUCUUGUAGAGGGGAGUGGAAUUCCAGGUGUAGCGGUGAAAUGCGUAGAGAUCUGGAGGAAUACCGGUGGCGAAGGCGGCCCCCUGGACAAAGACUGACGCUCAGGUGCGAAAGCGUGGGGAGCAAACAGGAUUAGAUACCCGAGUAGUCCCUGUCUCUUAUAC
rnacentral:rRNA from 1 species